UUGUAAAAAAAGACCUGCUUCUCCUGGUGUUGUAUCCUUGCUGGACGGAGAUGGUGAAGAUGCUGGAGGCGGCCAAGCCAGCACAGUAUGGGGUAGAUUUGACAAGGGACAAGAAAAGAAGGCCACCUCCCCUCCAGACAUUCCGAUCAGAGAAAAGAGACAAUUCGAAGCCAACCCAAAGAGACGUCCAAGACCUUGUCUGGGCUGCCUAUCUGUAAUAUCAGCUAAAAAGGAGGCUCCUGUAACAAUUCCUAGGAUGAAACCGG